rnacentral:rRNA from 1 species
GUGCACCAGUCGAGAAACUUUACAAUGUGCGAAAGCACGAUAAGGGAACUCUGAGUGCCUCCUAAGGAGGCUGUUCAGGUGUCUAAAAGCACCUGAAGGAAGGGCUGGGUAAGACCGGUGCCAGCCGCCGCGGUAACACCGGCAGCCCAAGUGGUAGCCACGUUUAUUGGGUCUAAAGCGUCCGUAGCCGGCUGGGUAAGUUCCUUGGGAAAUUUGGCUGCUUAACAGUCAAGCUUUCAGGGAAUACUGCCCGGCUUGGGACCGGGAGAGGUCAGAGGUACUCCAGGGGUAGGGGUGAAAUCCAUUAAUCCUUGGGGGACCACCGGUAGCGAAGGCGUCUGACCAGACCGGGUCCGACGGUGAGGGACGAAGGCUAGGGGCGCGAACC